rnacentral:tRNA from 1 species
GGGGGCGUGGCUCAGUGGUAGAGCCCCUGCCUAGCAUGUUGGAAACCUUAAGUUCAAUCCUCAGUUUCUAUA